AAAAAGAUAAACCCUGGGUUUUCGUGUCCAACAUUUGACCGUCCGUCUUAUUUAAAAAAAAUAUUAAAAAAAAUUAAAAAGACAAGUCACACAUAAAGUAUUAAUCAUGUUUUAUCAUCUAACAACAAUUAAAAUACUAAUUAUAAAAAAAUUUAUAUAAGACGGAUAGUCAAACGUUGAACACGGAAACUCAGGGUUUGUCUUUUU
rfam:Oryza sativa Japonica Group DNA, chromosome 4, cultivar: Nipponbare, complete sequence.